GAUGAAGAACGCAGCGAAAUGCGAUAAGUAAUGUGAAUUGCAGAAUUCAGUGAAUCAUCGAAUCUUUGAACGCACCUUGCGCCCUUUGGCCAUUCCGAAGGGCAUGCCUGUUUGAGUAUCAUGAACACCUCAACUCUUCAUGGUUUUCCAUGAUGAGCUUGGACUUUGGGGGUCUUCCUGGCCUGUGGGUCGGCUCCUCUCAAAUGAAUCAGCUUGCCGGUUUUUGGUGGGCAUCACAGGUGUGAUAACUAUCUACGCUUGUGGUUUUCCACCAGGGUAACCUUCAGCAGUGGAGGUUCACUGGAGCUUACAAAUGUCUCUCCUCUGUGAGGACAGCCCUUUGAAUGUUUGAUCUCAAAUCAGGUAGGACUACCCGCUGAACUUAAGCAUAUCAAUAAGCGGAGGA
rnacentral:misc_RNA from 1 species